rnacentral:rRNA from 1 species
GACGAACGCUGGCGGCGUGCUUAACACAUGCAAGUCGAACGGAAAGGCCCUGCUUUUGUGGGGUGCUCGAGUGGCGAACGGGUGAGUAACACGUGAGUAACCUGCCCUUGACUUUGGGAUAACUUCAGGAAACUGGGGCUAAUACCGGAUAGGAGCUCCUGCUGCAUGGUGGGGGUUGGAAAGUUUCGGCGGUUGGGGAUGGACUCGCGGCUUAUCAGCUUGUUGGUGGGGUAGUGGCUUACCAAGGCUUUGACGGGUAGCCGGCCUGAGAGGGUGACCGGCCACAAUGGGACUGAGAGACGGCCCAGACUCCUACGGGAGGCAGCAGUGGGGAAUAUUGCACAAUGGGCGGAAGCCUGAGGCAGCAACGCCGCGUGCGGGAUGACGGCUUUCGGGUUGUAAACCGCUUUCGCCUGUGACGAAGCGUGAGUGACGGUAAUGGGUAAAGAAGCACCGGCUAACUACGUG